UUACGACCAAAUCACGUUGAAACACCAGUUCCCGUACGAUCACCAUAGUUAAGCAAUGUUAAGUCUGCUCAAUACCUAGAUGAGUGACCGCUUGAGGAUACCAGGCGCCGUAA